rnacentral:rRNA from 1 species
CUAAGAAUAUUCCGCAAUGGACGAAAGUCUGACGGAGCGACGCCGCGUGGAUGAAGAAGGCCGAAAGGUUGUAAAAUCCUUUUGCCGGUGAAGAAUAAGUGUGGUAGGGAAUGACCGCAUGAUGACAUUAGUCGGUGAAUAAGCCCCGGCUAACUACGUGCCAGCAGCCGCGGUAACACGUAGGGGGCAAGCGUUGUUCGGAAUUAUUGGGCGUAAAGGGCAUGUAGGCGGUUUUGUAAGCCUGGUGUGAAAUCCUGCAGCUUAACUGUAGAAUUGCAUCGGGUACUGCAAGACUUGAAUCACAGAGGGGAAACUAGAAUUCCAGGUGUAGGGGUGGAAUCUGUAGAUAUCUGGAAGAAUACCGGUGGCGAAGGCGGGUUUCUAGCUGAUGAUUGACGCUGAGGUGCGAAAGUGCGGGGAGCAAACAGG